rnacentral:rRNA from 1 species
CAACUUUCAGCAACGGAUCUCUUGGCUCUCGCAUCGAUGAAGAACGCAGCGAAAUGCGAUAAGUAAUGUGAAUUGCAGAAUUCAGUGAAUCAUCGAAUCUUUGAACGCACCUUGCGCUCCUUGGUAUUCCGAGGAGCAUGCCUGUUUGAGUGUCAUUAAAU